UACAGAGGGUGCAAGCGUUAAUCGGAAUUACUGGGCGUAAAGGGCGCGUAGGUGGGGAUAUAAGUGAGAUGUGAAAUACCCGAGCUUAACUUGGGGGAGUCAUCUCAGACUGUAUUUCUAGAGUUUAGGAGAGGGGAGUGGAAUUUCCGGUGUAGCGGUGAAAUGCGUAGAGAUCGGAAGGAACAUCAGAGGCGAAAGCGACUCCCCGGCCAUAAACUGACACUGAGGCGCGAAAGCGUGGGUAGCAAACAGG
rnacentral:rRNA from 1 species